CUUGAUCGACCCCAGCAGCAGCGGGGUGUCCCGGUCCUGGCCGUAGGUGGCCAGCAGGGCCUGGGCCUC
rfam:Actinokineospora bangkokensis strain 44EHW Scaffold19, whole genome shotgun sequence.